CGCGAACGCUGGCGGCAGGCCUAACACAUGCAAGUCGAACGGACCCUUCGGGGUUAGUGGCGGACGGGUGAGUAACACGUGGGAACGUUCCUUUAGGUUCGGAAUAGCUCCUGGAAACGGGGGGUAAUGCCGACUGUGCCCUUCGGGGGAAAGAUUUAUCGCCUGUAGAGCGGCCCGCGUCUGAUUAGCUAGUUGGUGAGGUAAUGGCUCACCAAGGCGACGAUCAGUAGCUGAUCUGGGAGGAUGACCUGCCACAUUGAGACUGAGACACUGCCCAAACUCCUACGGGAGGCAGGAGUGGGGAAUCUUGCGCAAUGGGCGAAAGCCUGACGCAGCCAUGCCGCGUGGAUGAUGAAGGUCUUAGGAUUGUAAAAUCCUUUCACCGGUGAAGAUAAUGACUGUAGCCGGAGAAGAAGCCCCGGCUAACUUCGUGCCAGCAGCCGCAGUAAAAC
rnacentral:rRNA from 1 species